GGUUACAUCGUAUGGUUCGACGCCGGCUGCUUUAUCUACCACUCUCGUUUAAUCUUAUAUGUUAAACGAAAGAAGGCACAUACAUAAUGAUGCAAAAUAUGUUUUAUAUAAAUCUAGAUUACACGAGGCAAAUAAAAAAA
rnacentral:ribozyme from 1 species